rnacentral:rRNA from 1 species
AGUGAACGCUGGCGGUAGGCCUAACACAUGCAAGUCGAACGGCAGCACAGUAAGAGCUUGCUCUUACGGGUGGCGAGUGGCGGACGGGUGAGGAAUACAUCGGAAUCUACUUUUUCGUGGGGGAUAACGUAGGGAAACUUACGCUAAUACCGCAUACGACCUACGGGUGAAAGCAGGGGAUCUUCGGACCUUGCGCGAUUGAAUGAGCCGAUGUCGGAUUAGCUAGUUGGCGGGGUAAAGGCCCACCAAGGCGACGAUCCGUAGCUGGUCUGAGAGGAUGAUCAGCAAGACUGGAACUAAGACACGGUCCAGACUCCUACGGAGGCAGCAGUGGGGAAUAUUGGACAAUGGGCGCAAGCCUGAUCCAGCCAUACCGCGUGGGUGAAGAAGGCCUUCGGGUUGUAAAGCCCUUUUGUUGGGAAAGAAAAGCAGCAGGUUAAUACCCCGCUGUUCUGACGGUACCCAAAGAAUAAGCACCGGCUAACUUCGU